UCUCAUCGAGAGAGGUGGAGGGACUGGCCCUAUGAAACCCGGCAACCGGCCUAAUGCGUGCAGCGGUGCUAAUUCCAGCGAUACAAAAGUAUCGACAGAUGAGA
rnacentral:ncRNA from 1 species